rnacentral:rRNA from 1 species
UACGGAGGGGGCUAGCGUUGUUCGGAAUUACUGGGCGUAAAGCGCACGUAGGCGGCUUUGUAAGUUAGAGGUGAAAGCCCGGGGCUCAACCCCGGAACUGCCUUUAAGACUGCAUCGCUUGAAUCCAGGAGAGGUGAGUGGAAUUCCGAGUGUAGAGGUGAAAUUCGUAGAUAUUCGGAAGAACACCAGUGGCGAAGGCGGCUCACUGGCCCUGUCCUGACGCUCAGGGGCGAAAGCGUGGGGAGCAAACCGG